AUUAUUCAUCUACGGAUGCUUUAAUCAUGAAAGGGUGUAGAGGUUUACCUUAACCUCCAAUAGGGUUUUAUUCAUUCUUUUUUAUUGAUUGUUUGAUGAGUUAAAUUAAUAUUAUUUUGUUUUAUGUCAUGAAUUAGUCUUAAAAUUCGUAAUUGAUGUGCUAUGAUCUAUUUUUCAUGUUAAAUUGCGCAUGAGUGAAGUGUUUGUGUUGGAGUU
rnacentral:lncRNA from 1 species